rnacentral:lncRNA from 1 species
CACUGUGUAUGCAUGCUUGCUUCAUUGACCUUUUGAUUUAUAACCAUUUCAUCAUAUAAGGAGGUUUUUCACACUGUGCUUGUGCUGCUAGAUCAGAAAAAACCUGCAUAUGUUGCACACUUGAUUCUGAAUUUCCACGAAGUAAUUGCAGACCUAUUACACAUUUACACAAUUGAACAGACCUCUUCCAUGAACACAAGGGCCACACUGUUCCUUGAAAUUGAGGUUUGGAUUGUAAUGUAGUCUACACUGUUCCCAUUACACAUUUCCAUAAUCACUUCCAUUCCCCAGCAUAAUUGAUUCAUAGAUAAAACUAUAAAUUGAGGUUUGGAUGAAAUCAGUUGUGUGUUUCAGUUUUACUCAACCACAGAGUCAUGCUUGUUCAUGUCCCCAUAAUUGUUGACAUUCAUCCCAACCCAUAUUCUUAUUUUAUUGAAGUCGCAUUUCACUUAGAAAAUUAUCAUCUGCUCAUAGCAAUUGGGCGGACAUGGACAUUGACAUUUCCCAAGCUGCCGGCACUGUAUGUCAAACUGCACAUAGAAAAUGUUGCAAUAACGUGAGAUUCAAACUUUGGCAUGUGAAUGGUUCUAGGCUCGGCUUUUACAUGGUCCGAAAGCCUCCCCAUGAUCAUGUUUGCUAUGAUUGGUCAUGCUAUUGAAUGUAGGAUUAAGUUUCAUACCUACACAUGCAAAGUAAAAUGCUGAUCAUGGUGGUGAAGUAUUGUUUUCUAUGUCAGGUGUUUGGGACGGAUAAGAGAUACUGGUUCAUCCCUG